rnacentral:lncRNA from 1 species
UUCGGGUCCCAUUUUGUAAUUCUUCAAAGCGAUAAGUCUCUUUCAAUAUUUUCUUCCACUUUUUUCAAACACGCACACCUCUCCGUAUUUUCCAACACCGCACCAGCUCAGAACAAAAUCAAACUCCAAUGGAUGAUCCUCUUCAUCCUCAAAGCUGUUGAUUCUGACAAUGAACAUCGUCAACAUCACCAAGAAUCUACGAAGGGUUUUUAAUGAUGUAUGAAUUUUGAUGUUGAAGUCGAUUCUUGUCAUGGUUCUGCUUGCUCUCUCUCUUCUCCUGUUACCGGUGGUUUUGCCGCCAUUAUCUCCGCCGCCGUUGUUGUUCUUGUUUAUUCCUGUUUUUAUCAUGAGUCUGCUCAUUUUCUUGGCUUUAUCUCCUUCAUAUGAACCCAACAUCGCUGUUAAUACUGUUUGAUACAAAAGGGUAAUUGAUCUCAUCUCAUGUCUUAAUUCACGAAAAAAGCUUCGGAGGAUGGAUGGCUGAAAGAUCAAGCCGUCGGCGAGUCUCUCUAAGAAGAAGAAGAUGAUGAACUGUGGUAUUAGAUAUGUAACUGUGAGUUCUUUUUGCACUGAAUUUCCAUUUUCUUGAGUGAUCUUCUGGUGAAGUUUAUUCAUUUUUUCUAUGUUCAUAUUCUAAAAAAUUAACCAUGGUUUAAUUUUCUCUCCUUCUUUUUGUUUUUUUUUUUCAAUUUUUCAAGGAAAAGAUAUGAUCUGGAAUCUAUUUUUCCCUCUGAAAUGGAAACUUAUUGAAAAAUAUUAUGAUGCUAAAGAGAAAGAAGCAUUAUCAUUUUGUUAACUUUAGGCAGGAGGAGCAUUAUUUUAUGCAAAAAAAAUGGCAAACUUAAUAGAAAAGGUGAGAAAUUUGCAGUAAUGUUUAAUUAAUAGUCAAUCAUUUUAAUUUUGGAUCACAAACUCAGACUCUAAAAUUGAAUUAGGAAAAUUUACAUUUUUUCACUAAAGUUAUAAUUAUAAUAAUAAACCCCCUUAAAUUUUAUUAUCUUUAUUUUACAAAACAAAAAUGAUAAUGCAAUGAACUUUGAUACAUAUUCAUAGAAACCCAUUUAUGUCUUGGAUAGAGCUUAGGUACAGUUGUAAGUUAAGUCUGUUGAUUAUCAUAAUUGAAAGUUCAAUUAGGAAAAGUUUUAAUUUUUCUACAUUAAUUUUGACUUUUAAUUAUGAUUAUAUUCCGCUCACAGACUUAGUCUAGUGGUAAAUAUAUUUGAAUAAAUUUGAGAGAUCAAUUUUAUUAUCCCAAUUUUCAUUUUUCAAAUUUAAAUCCCUUUAUUCAUCUGGUUAUAAUAAUUAUGGGCGGAAGUUUAGGAUUUUUUUUCCUUUAUUUUUUCUAAUAUAUUGGGACCUUCAAGUUGAAGGCAGAACUAGUGCAUAUAGUUAAUCAGUACUCCUUUGGUGGCGGAAGGUACUAAACAGGUAAAGCUGGUGAAUUCUGUUGACGACGGAUAAACAUGUAAACAAGUUAAGUGUUUUGUUAAGAUUUUAAAAUAGCAGUUACCAGCUCUAAUUGUAAAGCUAUUUUUCAUCAGGUGGUAAUUAAUUCGAUUUUAUUUUUUUAUUUAGAUUAUAUUACUCUUUUUAAAUUUUUUAAAUUAAAAUUUUAUAUUAAUAAAUCAUUUAAAAAUAUAAAAUAUAUUAAAUAAAUCUAAACAUAUUAUAAAUAACAAUUAAAUUAAUCAAAAUAUUCAUCCUUUUACAAGAAAGGAUAUUUAUAUUCAUAAAAAAAUAAAAAAUAUAUUUUAAUUAUUAUUAUAUAUGUUGCGAAUUAAUAAUUUUAUGUAUAUAUUAUUAAGAUGAUAAAUUAAGACAUACAUCAUUUUACAUAUUAUUAAUAACAGGUAGAAAUAGUUUAGUAAACACUUAGUAUAUAUUAAUUAGAAUCCAUAAUCGCUGCUAAUUAUAUAUUAUAAUUAAAUCAAUAUUCACAGAUUUAAACUAAAUUUGUUGGUAAGUAUAUCUGAGAAGUCUCAGAUUCUACUCCUCCAAUCUCUAAUCUCAUUUCAACGAAAAAAAAAAAAUCAAACAUCUCCUUAUCAUUUAGAAAUUGUUUCGAUUUUAGUUUCUGAACCACUGAUUACUAAAUCGGAGUUUAGGUUAAGAAAAUUAAUAUCUAUACCCAAAUAGAGACUAUUUGAUAAGCGAUUUGGAAUUGGAUGAUUCAUGAGGAUUGGAAGGAAAUAUAGGACUAUUUGAGACAGUUUGAAAUAAAAACUUAUGGUUGGAGGAUUUUUAUUUUAUUUUUAAAUUAAAUUACGGAUUGAACAUGUUUUUCAAGUUUCUGAUUCUAAAUUUUGAAAAUCUUGCAUUUGAAUGAAAAUAUAAAAAUAUUUUUUCGAUUUAAUUUCAUCAUAGUCUCUAAUUUUUCUUUUAAUUUAUAUUAUAAUCUCAAUUUUAAUUAGAUUUAAAAUGUUUUUGAACCGUCUGUUUUAACGAAAAAUAAAUCGUAAAUAUAUUUUAAGUCGUUUAAUAAAUAAUUUUUUUUUACAUUUUAUUUUAUUUUUAUAAAUUAAAAAAUCUUAAAAAGAAAAAAAGAAAUGGAUAGGAAAUUCUAUGUUUUGAGAUUUUGUUGGAAUAAUAUAUGAUUAUGUGUUUUAUUAAAUUAUCUAAUUAAAAAUUAUGAAGAAUUUUAGUUUAGAAUUCUUCUUCAAAACUAUAAAGACUCGAAUUCUAAUGUAAAUUACUAUUUAAUUCAUUUAAUUUGUCAUACUCAAUGACUAGUUGCCUAUUGAAAACUCAAUUCUCUUGUCUUGAAGUUAAAUUCCAUCAUUAAUUUCAUCCUUAUCCUUAUUAAUUUACGGCAAAAACAGUCAAAUGAGAAAUAAUGUAUUUUUAUUGUUUUAUGUUAAGAUAGGAAAUUUAAUGAUAUUAUAAACUAUACAUAUUUCACAAUUACUAAUUUAAUUCGGUGUGAAUUUUUUUAGAAUUUUUUUAUCUUUUAAUAUUUUUUUACAUAUAAAUAUAUAAUAUUCUCCUAAUAUAUUUUAAUUAAAAAAAUUUACACAGGAAAUAAGAAAAUUCUAAUCUUCAUGAAUAUAGUCAAAUUAGUAAAUCAUGUUAAAUCUGUGCGUUAUUUAUUUUUUAUAUUUAAUUUUUAUUGUGUGAUUAUUUAAUUCUUAACAUUUACCCUCCCUCUCUUCUUUCUCCUUUGCUAAUCCAUAUUUUUUCUUUUUGCUUUUUCUUUUUGCUCUUUCUUUUGAUAAUUGAUUAUAGUGAGAUUUACAUGAGAUUUCAAGAUUUGAAGCAAGACAUUAGCGUAUGUAGGAAAAGAGUGUCAAUGGGUAUCAAAGGAUUCACUGAAGUAUUCUCUUAAAUGUGUCAUUGUUUAUGUUGAUGAUGGAAAAAAACCUAUUUUGUUUGUAAGAUCUCUAUUAAUCUUUCUUCAUUAUUUUGCUAAGUUUGGAGUUGCUAUAUUUUUGAGUUUGUAAAAUCCAUCAUUCUAUGAGAUGGGAUUGUUACGAUUUUGAAAAAAAGGAUGGGAGUUUUUGUUUAUGGCUUGAAAAUUCUUAUUUUUAUGGAUGUGAUGUUCAAUUUCUCAAAAUUUUCUCAUUAAUUUAUGUUUUGUUGUCUGUGAUUUGCAGGAGAUAUGGAGGGGAGAGAGAGAUUAGCAAAGGGGGAGUAAAGACAAGGAGAAAGAAAAGAAAUAGAUAUAAUAGAGAAAUAUGUGUGAAAGAAAGAAGAGGGGGAAGGGGGAGGACUAGAGUGGGAAGAAAAAUUUUAUAAAUUUAUGCAUUGUUACUUAAUGAAUCUAAUGUAAUGGCUAUCGAUCGUUAAAGAGGAGUAGUUUGAAUACUAUUAUAUUUGUCUCC